ensembl:lncRNA
CACGCGAGCGCGCACGCACAUGUGCACAUGCGUGUAAGCACGGCGGUGCGGGGGGAGGCACCCAUGAGUCCUCUAUCAGGGCCAAUGUUAUUUUUAAUUGCCGAGAAUCAGCCCAUGGCUGUUCCUCAGAGCUGCAGAGUGCGGGCUUGCCAGGGGUCGGAAACCGACUUCAGAGGAGAGAUCAGAAAACUGAGGCUCAGAGAGGUUGAAUGGCCUCACAGCUGAAUGGAGUCUGGCGCCUAACUGCUCACUGGAUAUUUGUUGAAUGAACCCAUGAAUCGGCGAAUGAAUGACUGCUCAGGGCAGGUUCUUUACUACUAGAGCCACCUGGGAAGUCCACGCCCAGCUUACUAGAGAUUGUGAAUUGCCUGAGGAUGACGGAGGGGCUCCAAAUGGCCAGGAUGAAGUAUAAAGCAAAUUCCUAUCAUCAUGAACAACUGAAGAGCCUGACGGACUUCAGGCAUCUGGGAAACUAACCCAACUUGCUCACGUCGUGGGUCUGGAUGGAGCAGGUGCUUGCCAUUGCGUCAGUCAGACAUCACAGUUUAUUCAUGGCUUACACACUGGGGCUGUGACAGAUGUCCCACCGUGCUCCGCUGCACACUGGCAAGGAGAUGGCGACAGUGCCUGUACUUUGUCCUCAGUUGUUGCUUGUAGACACCAUCCCACCCUCCUACCCAGCAGAGUCCUUUCUUCAAAUAAAAUCUUACCAGAAAGCCCAGUGUGCAAGAGUAAUAAAAGCAGAGUUGCUUUGGUUGCAAAGGAAGGGGAUGAAUUAGUUGUGUGUGUGUGUGUGUGCAUGUGUGUGCGUGUGCAGGGGGCAGAUGGGGGUCCCCAUCUCUUCUGGUUUUAUCCUGAACCUUCUCCCUUCAGGGCCUCUCUGAGGGUUUCCUUGGAUCCCAGUUUGAAAACCGCUGUCACAACCCUGAAUAUUCAUUGGAAGGACAGAUGCUGAAGCUCCAAUACUUUGGCCACCUGAUGCGAAGAGCCGACUCAUCGGAAAAGAUCUUAAUGCUGGGAAAGAUUGAAGGCAGGAGGAAAAGGGGGAGACAGAGGACAAGAUGGUUGGAUAACAUCACCAACUCAGUGGACAUGAGUUUGAGCAAACUCUGGGAAACAGUGAAAGAUAGGGAAACCUGGAGUGCUGCAGUUCAUGGGGUUGUAGAGUCGGAUACGACUUAGCUACUGAACAACAUCACAAUGCAGGCAGGCCUCUUCUCCUAACAGUUAUUGAACUUCAGUAACCAAGAAAACACACAAUGUAAAGAACUGCUAGAAAUUUGAUGACCCUUUCAAAUUAACCUGAAUUUUUCAUACUGUUGAUUCAGGCUGUAGCCCCUAUUUGGUGUAGGGUACAGAGGGAGGAACCCCUUGCUGAAACUCCAUGGCCCCCACAGGUCUGCAGCUCACAAAUUUUGGGGGAAUCCCGGUACAGAAAUUAGGAGAGGAGCAAGACGUAAGAAUUGGGGUCCUAGAAGGAGUCACACAAUGACAGGGGCCCCAAGGAGGGAAGCAACUUACACUGGGAGAAAGGGGGUGUCCCUGAGAUAGACUGAUGCCCUUGCCAGUGGCACAACUUAGUAUCUGCAUCUGGUGCACCAUCUUCAGAGAUCCCAUCACUGCUGGCUUCAGCCGGGGACACUUGGAACGUUGCCUACAGGCUCUUCUGCUUCUUACAGUUACUGGGGGAUGCACCUGGCAUUUCAUGGAUGAGGCAGGAAGGACAAAGUCCCCUAGUACACAGGAGAGUCC